rnacentral:rRNA from 1 species
CUGAUGUUAGCGGCGGACGGGUGAGUAACACGUGGGUAACCUACCUAUAAGACUGGGAUAACUCCGGGAAACCGGGGCUAAUACCGGAUAAUAUUUUGAACCGCAUGGUUCAAUAGUGAAAGACGGUUUCGGCUGUCACUUAUAGAUGGACCCGCGCCGUAUUAGCUAGUUGGUAAGGUAACGGCUUACCAAGGCUACGAUACGUAGCCGACCUGAGAGGGUGAUUGGCCACACUGGAACUGAGACACGGUCCAGACUCCUACGGGAGGCAGCAGCC